rnacentral:rRNA from 1 species
UACGUAGGGCGCAAGCGUUAUCCGGAAUUAUUGGGCGUAAAGAGCUCGUAGGCGGUUUGUCGCGUCUGCCGUGAAAGUCCGGGGCUCAACUCCGGAUCUGCGGUGGGUACGGGCAGACUAGAGUGAUGUAGGGGGAGACUGGAAUUCCUGGUGUAGCGGUGAAAUGCGCUGAUAUCAGGAGGAACACCGAUGGCGAAGGCAGGUCUCUGGGCAUUAACUGACGCUGAGGAGCGAAAGCAUGGGGAGCGAACAGG